AGAGUUUGAUCAUGGCUCAGAACGUACGCUGGCGGCACGCCUUAUACAUGCAAGUCGAACGGAGUAGCAAUACUCAGUGGCAGACGGGUGAGUAACAUGUGGGUAUCUUCCCUUUGGUGAGGAAUAACACGAGGAAACUUGUGCUAAUACCUCAUAAGUCUUUACGGAGAAAGCUUUAUGCGCCAAUGGAUGAGCCUGCACUUGAUUAGUUUGUUGGUAGGGUAAUGGCCUACCAAGACUGUGAUCAAUAGCUGAUCUGAGAGGAUGAUCAGCCACAUUGGGACUGAGACACGGCCCAAACUCCUACGGGAGGCAGCAGUAGGGAAUAUUGCACAAUGGAGGAAACUCUGAUGCAGCGAUGCCGCGUGAGUGAAGAAGGCCUUUGGGUUGUAAAGCUCUUUCGUCGGGGAAGAAAAUGACUGUACCCGAAUAAGAAGGUCCGGCUAACUUCGUGCCAGCAGCCGCGGUAAUACGAAGGGACCUAGCGUAGUUCGGAAUUACUGGGCUUAAAGAGCUCGUAGGUGGUUAAAAAAGUUGGUUGUGAAAUCCCAAGGCUCAACCUUGGAACUGCAAUCAAAACUUUUUAGCUCGAGUGUGACAGAGGAAAGUGGAAUUUCUAGUGUAGAGGUGAAAUUCGUAGAUAUUAGAAAGAACAUCAAAAGCGAAGGCAACUUUCUGGGUCACUACUGACACUGAGGAGCGAAAGCAUGGGUAGCGAAGAGGAUUAGAUACCCUCGUAGUCCAUGCCGUAAACGAUGUGUGCUAGACGUUGGAAAUAUAAUUUUCAGUGUCGCAGCGAAAGCAUUAAGCACACCGCCUGGGGAGUACGACCGCAAGGUUAAAACUCAAAUGAAUUGACGGGGACCCGCACAAGCAGUGGAGCAUGUGGUUUAAUUCGAAGAUACGCGCAGAACCUUACCAACACUUGACAUGCUCGUCGCGAGACCAAGAGAUUGGUCUCUUCAUUAAGUUGGACGAUGCACAGGUGCUGCAUGGCUGUCGUCAGCUCGUGUCGUGAGAUGUUGGGUUAAGUCCCGCAACGAGCGCAACCCCUACUUUUAGUUGCCAUCAUUUAGUUGGGCACUUUAAAAGAACUGCCAGUGAUAAGCUGGAGGAAGGUGGGGAUGACGUCAAGUCCUCAUGGCCCUUACGUGUUGGGCUACACACGUGCUACAAUGGCACUUACAAUGGGAUGCAAAGAGGCGACUCUUAGCUAAUCCCAAAAAUGUGUCUCAGUUCGGAUUGUACUCUGUAACUCGAGUGCAUGAAGCUGGAAUUGCUAGUAAUCGCGGAUCAGCGCGCCGCGGUGAAUACGUUCCCGGGUCUUGUACACACCGCCCGUCACACCAUGGAAGUUGGUUACACCUUAAGGCAAAGAAUAAACCCUUUGACUACGGUACGAUCAGCGACUGGGGUGAAGUCGUAACAAGGUAACCGUA
rnacentral:rRNA from 1 species